rnacentral:rRNA from 1 species
UACGUAGGGAGCGAGCGUUGUCCGAAGUUACUGGGCGUAAAGCGCGCGUAGGCGGGUUUGAAAGUCGGAGGUGAAAUGCUGGGGCUCAACUCCAUGCAGUGCCUCCGAUACUUCAAGUCUUGAGUGCGGUAGGGAGAAGUGGAAUGGCUGGUGUAGCGGUGAAAUGCGCAGAUAUCAGGAGGAACACCGGUGGCGAAGGCGGCUACCUGGACAGAAACUGACGCUGAGGCGCGAAAGCUAGGGGAGCAAACAGG